GACGAACGCUGGCGGCGUGCUUAACACAUGCAAGUCGAACGGAAAGGCCCUGCUUUUGUGGGGUGCUCGAGUGGCGAACGGGCGAGUAACACGUGAGUAACCUGCCCUUGACUUUGGGAUAACUUCAGGAAACUGGGGCUAAUACCGGAUAGGAGCUCCUGCUGCAUGGUGGGGGUUGGAAAGUUUCGGCGGUUGGGGAUGGACUCGCGGCUUAUCAGCUUGUUGGUGGGGUAGUGGCUUACCAAGGCUUUGACGGGUAGCCGGCCUGAGAGGGUGACCGGCCACAUUGGGACUGAGAUACGGCCCAGACUCAUACGGGAGGCAGCAGUGGGGAAUAUUGCACAAUGGGCGGAAGCCUGAUGCAGCAACGCCGCGUGCGGGAUGACGGCCUUCGGGUUGUAAACCGCUUUCGCCUGUGACGAAGCGUGAGUGACGGUAAUGGGUAAAGAAGCACCGGCUAACUACGUG
rnacentral:rRNA from 1 species